GAUGAACGCUGGCGGCGUGCCUAAUACAUGCAAGUCGAGCGAACGGACGAGAAGCUUGCUUCUCUGAUGUUAGCGGCGGACGGGGGAGUAACACGUGGAUAACCUACCUAUAAGACUGGGAUAACUUCGGGAAACCGUAGCUAAUACCGGAUAAUAUUUUGAACCGCAUGGUUCAAAAGUGAAAGACGGUCUUGCUGUCACUUAUAGAUGGAUCCGCGCUGCAUUAGCUAGUUGGUAAGGUAACGGCUUACCAAGGCAACGAUGCAUAGCCGACCUGAGAGGGUGAUCGGCCACACUGGAACUGAGACACGGUCCAGACUCCUACGGGAGGCAGCAGUAGGGAAUCUUCCGCAAUGUGCGAAAGCCUGACGGAGCAACGCCGCGUGAGUGAUGAAGGUCUUCGGAUCGUAAAACUCUGUUAUUCGGGAAGAACAUAUGUGUAAGUAACUGUGCACAUCUUGACGGUACCUAAUCAGAAAGCCACGGCUAACUACGUG
rnacentral:rRNA from 1 species